rnacentral:lncRNA from 1 species
GAUCUCAUAACACACUAUCAAAAAUGGAGAGCGAGGCUUGAAGCAAGUCUAAUCAUGAGCCGAAGCUAACGUUAAUGUCCUAAACUCAUUGUUUCAGCUCCUUGGCUCGACACAUGAAAAGAUCGACGUGUGAACUAGGUCUUCGUACUUACUUAUGUUUUACACUGUAAUCUCAUUUCUAUUUCUUUCGCUGCAACGUUGACAAAAAUUAUCCGCGUCAUCACUUUUACAGCCAAGCAAAGCGUAAAGAAAUCCUUUCUUUCGACGGCAAAGAGUAAAGUCCAUAAUUAAUAUAGUAAAUAAUACCAACGACAUUAGAAAGGCGGCG